AAAAGGUCGAAACUUUCGAUUCACAUACGUGAAGAGCUAGGAUCUCUGAAUAGGAACCCUACAUUUGCAUUUUGUACUUGUGUGACUGAUGACAAGUGUGAUAAUGCUAAAGCAAGAGGCGAUGGGUCGGAGUCUGAGAAUGAAUGGGAAAGAUUGCUUAAGCCUUUUGACUUCAAACAACUCCAAAGAUCACUCAAUAAAAUUACCCCGUAUCAGCUCAAUAAAUUAUUGGCACUCCCUUUGGAUGUACCAACAUCGAUGGAGCUAUUCCAGUGGGCCGGUAGCCAAACAAGCUAUUGCCACUCAUUUGAUGUCUACUUUACUUUAAUUGAUAAACUUGGGGCCGCCAAGGAAUUUAAGAUUAUAGAUAGAUUGUUAUUACGGAUGAAAGAUGAAGGGACAGUUUUCAAAGAGUCCCUCUUUAUUAUGAUAAUGAGGCAUUAUGGAAGAGCUGGUUUACCAGGGCAAGCAACUAGAAUACUUUUGGAUAUGUGGAAUACUUUCUCUUGUGAACCCACUUUCAAGUCAUACAAUCAAGCGUUGGAUAUUCUGUUAGCCGGAAAUUGUCCCAAAGUUGCUCCAAAUGUAUUUUAUGAAAUGUUGGGGAAAGGUAUUUCUCCUUCUGUAUUCACUUUUGCUCGGGUGAUACAAGCAUUAUGUAU
rnacentral:misc_RNA from 1 species